rnacentral:rRNA from 1 species
AUGGAUCUGGCAGCCCAGCUCAACCAGGAGAGGGUCAACGCGCACGGGCGCGCUCGCUGCAGAGUGCAGAAGAACAGGGUCUCGGCCCCCGGGUCGGCAACGGCGACGUGGGAUGCUCACGCCGGUGAACUUGAGGACGAGCGGGCGCCGCGGCUCCGGGAACAUGGUGGGGCGGCGAGAUUCGACGCGAGGAAGAGGAUUUGGCCGGAGACGAUGGCUUGUCGAAGCAGGGGAGACUCGGGCAGCGCACGGGGUAGAGGAAGCAGAGGCCGCAACAGGCGAACUUGGUGGCAGCAGCAGGUCCAGCAGGGGUCACCGGGGCUUGGACGCGGGGCUCCGGUAAGGUUGGGGAGGCCCGGCGCGCGAGGAACGGCGCAGGGAAGGACGCCUGGGCACGGGUCCAUGGCGCGGGCACGGGACGCCAUGGUGGUUGCUGCUGUGCUGGUUGCCAGGCAGACGACGGCAGAGCACAGCGAAGAGGCCCGGAACGGGCAGGAGGCGGGGAUGGUGGGCGAGGAGGUGGAGCUCGGGCUCCUGCGGGAUUUGAGCGUCGGCGGUCGUUGA